UUCAUGAUUGUCACCAGUGGAUCUUGCAAGUACGUACAGUGAAACAGUUACUCUGCAUGUGGAACAAUGAUCCGUGUACCAUAAAUAACAUCGAAUCACACAUGUGUAACUAUCUGGGGGACCGGGCAACAACACGUCAACAUUGAUUCCAGAAAUACACCUCUGUCUAUGCUAUAAUGCCAAUGUCGUAAUCAACUCACAAUAACAUACGUUCUGGUACUGCCAUGUUCCCUGGCACUCUCAGGGACAGAAACGACGGUCUGUAGAGACUGGGGAUAUACGUGCGAUGGCUGACUCUAGGUCCUCGUGUCCAGAUAGGAAAACAGGACAUUAUACCAGGACUGUUCAUGAGGUGUCACAAAGGUGAUCAUUCAGAGAAAAAGAUACAGCCAGUUCACCUCAGAAGUCCCAACAAUUCCGUCGACAUGGAAACGGCAGACAUAAACGCGAUGAUUAUGAUUGUGGCGACUUCAACUACUACGACCCCGCCAUACACGGAUGUACGCCGUGUGACCACCUGUGUGACUACCACGAACACCAAGGAACUACAAAGCGUUGCAUGGAGAAAUGUCCAGAUUACUAUGUAAAGGAUGGGACCUACGGCCAGUUCACAAGAAGAGAGGUCUACAAAGGAUACGAGUCCUGAUGAUUCCAAAGGAGACGCUACCUUGACUGUAGUAUUGAUUAUAUUUGCGAUAGUGUUUGUCCUGUGUACUGGCGUUAUGGUUUGGAAACGGAAUCAGAUUUGGCAGUUCCUGGAGAGACAGUGUACAACCGAUGAGGAGAAAACCUCGGUGCCAUGCUGCCAGGAACAGGGAAUCUGCGAGUCUGCCAAUUCCAAAGUGACCCCUUUGACCCACUCCCUAGGACCAAUAUGCCAGCCAGUUACAGAAACUCGCCACGAGAACAAAGCAGACCAGUACCUAUACACAGAGACGUUUGCUGAGAUUGACCUACGGUAUGCUGUAUUGGAUGAACCGUUCUCACAGACCACAACACCAUCCCUAAACAAACCUGUUCCACGGAUCACCCCAGUCAGACUGCCUCCAUCUAUCACCCAACCAUCCCUAAACAAACCUGUUGCACGGAUCACCUCAGUCAGACCCUCUCCAACUAUCAACCACCCCAACGCAAACCGUAUCUGCUGAUGGCACCAACCUGACAACCUACCCCAGUCACUCCACAAUCCCCAAAGUUGUUGAUACUGAUAGUGAUGAUACACACUCGUGAGGAGGAAAGUGACGAAGGCACCUGUUAACA